rnacentral:lncRNA from 1 species
CUCCCAGAGAGGGGCUGGGGCGUGGCUCAGCAGUUGAAGACCCCUCCGUCACUGGAUGCGUCUGCCUAUGUGGGAGUGUUGGUGCCUUUUCUGUGUAGGUGUGUCUGCCUGCCCCUUUUCUCAUCUUCCAAUCCUUCAGUAUCUCUCCUCCAACCUGCACUAACCAUUUCUGUCUGGACCGCACUCUGGAUGGAAGGGAUCAAAUCCGGACUACAGCUCUGUUGGGAGAGCGGAGCUGCAGCGGGGGCUGCCUAGAGUCAUGGCAGUGGGGAGGGGGAGGGGGUUGCUAAGGCCCAGAUUUACAUUUUGUUCCUUCCCCACUCUGCUAGGGUCACAGACGAACCUGAGAGAAUCGGGGGACCUGAGGUCACAAGUUGCCAUCUACCUUGGGAUAAAGCGGAAACCGCCCCCAGGCUGCUCAGAUUCCCCUGGAGUGUGAAACUGACCAGCUCUCGACCUCCUGAGGCCCUGAUGGCUGCCCUGCGACAGGCCACAGCGGCCGC